CACGUAGGGCGCGAGCGUUGUCCGGAAUUAUUGGGCGUAAAGAGCUCGUAGGCGGCCUGGUGCGUCCGCUGUGAAAGCCCGGGGCUUAACCCCGGGUCUGCAGUGGAUACGGGCAGGCUAGAGGUAGGUAGGGGAGAAUGGAAUUCCCGGUGUAGCGGUGAAAUGCGCAGAUAUCGGGAGGAACACCGGUGGCGAAGGCGGCACUCUGGGCCGAUACUGACACUGAGGAGCGAAAGCGUGGGGAGCGAACAGG
rnacentral:rRNA from 1 species